rnacentral:rRNA from 1 species
UACGGGGGGAGCAAGCGUUGUUCGGAUUUACUGGGCGUAAAGGGCGCGUAGGCGGCCAGCACAAGUCAGUUGUGAAAUCUCCGAGCUUAACUCGGAAAGGUCAACUGAUACUGUGCGGCUAGAGUGCGGAAGGGGCAACUGGAAUUCUUGGUGUAGCGGUGAAAUGCGUAGAUAUCAAGAGGAACACCUGCGGCGAAGGCGGGUUGCUGGGCCGACACUGACGCUGAGGCGCGAAGGCCAGGGGAGCAAACGGG